UACAGAGGGGGCAAGCGUUGUUCGGAAUUACUGGGCGUAAAGGGCUCGUAGGCGGCUCUUCAAGUCAGCCGUGAAAUCUCCAGGCUUAACCUGGAAGGGUCGGUUGAUACUGUCGAGCUAGAGUGUAGAAGAGGCAACUGGAAUUCCGUGUGUAGCGGUGAAAUGCGUAGAUAUACGGAGGAACACCUGCGGCGAAGGCGGGUUGCUGGGCUAACACUGACGCUGAGGCGCGAAAGCUAGGGUAGCAAACGGG
rnacentral:rRNA from 1 species